CCUACGGGAGGCAGCAGUGGGGAAUCUUAGACAAUGGGCGCAAGCCUGAUCUAGCCAUGCCGCGUGAGUGACGAAGGCCUUAGGGUCGUAAAGCUCUUUCGCCUGUGAUGAUAAUGACAGUAGCAGGUAAAGAAACCCCGGCUAACUCCGUGCCAGCAGCCGCGGUAAUA
rnacentral:rRNA from 1 species